CCUACGGGUGGCUGCAGUGAGGAAUAUUGGUCAAUGGGCGCAAGCCUGAACCAGCCAUCCCGCGUGCAGGAAGACGGCCCUAUGGGUUGUAAACUGCUUUUCCAGGGGACGAAUAGUUUCUACGUGUAGAGACCUGACGGUACCUUGGGAAUAAGCAUCGGCUAACUCCGUGCCAGCAGCCGCGGUAAUACGGAGGAUGCAAGCGUUAUUCGGAUUCAUUGGGUUGAAAGCGUGCGUAGGCGGCAGAGUAUAAAUACUACAGCUUAACUGUAGAACUGCCAUUGAUACUGUUAGUCUUGAGUUUGGUUAAGGUAGGCGGAAUGUGUAAUGUAGCGGUGAAAUGCUUAGAUAUUACACAGAACACCAAUUGCGAAGGCAGCUUACUGGACCGACACUGACGCUGAGGCACGAAAGCGUGGGGAUCGAACAGGAUUAGAUACCCGGGUAGUC
rnacentral:rRNA from 1 species